UGAGGAAUAUUGGUCAAUGGGCGUAAGCCUGAACCAGCCAAGUAGCGUGCAGGAAGACGGCCCUACGGGUUGUAAACUGCUUUUAUGCGGGGAUAAAGUGCAAUACGUGUAUUGCUUUGUCAGGUACCGCAUGAAUAAGGACCGGCUAAUUCCGUGCC
rnacentral:rRNA from 1 species